AGUGGGAUAGCUGGGUCAAAUGGUAUUUCCAGUCCAAGUUUUCUGAGGAAUCUCCAUACUGCUUUCCAUAACUGUUAAACCAAUUUGCAGUUCCACCAGCAAU
rnacentral:pre_miRNA from 1 species